CUCCAUUCUGUCCCUCAGUAUUAUGAUCUCUCCUUUUCGAGCCUAAGAGCGGGAGGUACAUAGUGUCCCACAUUUUCAUAGCCAUCAUGCCUCUGUAGUUUUUUCAUCAGUAAAUGAAUUACAGAAACUUAUUGUCUUCUUCAAUGAGGAGGUAAAUUCUAACUGCUAUUUUCCUCAUCUGGCACAAAUAAUUGAAAUGCACUCAUAUGCAGCUCCAUUAUUCUCUUUUUUUUUUGUAGGAUAUUGACCCUUGGCACCUGAAUUCUGGAUCACUUAUGUUUGAAAACAAUCUAGGAGCUGAACAUUGCAAGGCCUCAUCAGCUGUUUUGAAAUGGAGCCCUGCUCCUGCCAAGGUACACAAUACUGAGACCUUCUUUCCUCUGCAGCCGCCGGUGGAAGCACAGAGAAGCAUGGCUCCAAGUGACAGCUCCUACCCCAGCCAGCUGCUGCCAGCCACUGGCUGCUAGAGGAGACCUAAACAGGAGUUCCACCAGCAAAUGGAAAAUAACAUUCUUGGCAUUCCAACAGUUGGGAACACAGAAAGCACUACACUGUACAAGAAAAAUGCUGUAUUUUUUAUCUGACCAUGGUCAAACCUGAGUACUCCAGAGGAAAGCAGACAGCCUCUAGUAAUGAACCUGAUUCUACAUCUCACUUUGGGUAAAUCUGGGAAUUCCAAGAAGACGUUCAACCUCUGCACUCAGAAGAUGGUGUUCUGCUGCUUUUACAACCUGCUACAAAACAUGGCAUCUGCCAAUGCAAAACCACACAUCCUUUCACUAGUUCUGACUGUUUCAACCACUGUUGAGGCACUAUUCAUUGCAUCUUCCUACUGAGUGGCAGCACCAUGCAGGUGAGAUGGCCACCUGAGCACAGUGACAGGAAAAGCUGGUCUGCACCAUGCCCCGCUUUCAUUUGACUCCUGGGCAGUACAUGUCCCUAGUGAAACAGUUUAGAUAUACCCACUGGUGCUGGGCUGCAGAAGGAUCCUUGAGAAGGUCUCAGAUUCCAAAGGUUACCUAAAAUCUAAAGGAACAUUUAAAAUGAAAAACCUGAAUUUUUUUUUUUUUAAAAAAAUCAAUAUUAAGUUGUGAUCCUACUGGAUGCAUUUCGUUGAACAGAUAUUUAAAAUAACUUCUGAGGAGAGUUCUGUCCAGAUUUGUAGCAAAUCACUUAAAAAACAGAAUGAGAAUGGUUUCAAAACUUUUCUGUUAAGGCCAUAAUUUUGUUAUCUUUGUUCAAAUUUAUCAUGAAGUAAUAUAGAUAAUCUUGUGGCCACUCACAUUUACACAUGAUUUUUCUGGUUAGGGGAAUUAAAAAAAAAACUUCCAGAAGAAUUUUAUUAUUGAUAAUUCAGCUUGAGACCACCAACUAAGAGACUGAAAAGAAUUGGUUUGUGAAAAAAAGUGUUGAAACCAUGCAUAAUUAUUACACUUUUUAUAUCUUGAACCUGCUGUUUUCUCACUGUAUAGGUCAUUUAUAAAACACAGUUUUUAUCAGCCUGAGUUAUAUCAUUAUUCCACAAUUUUCCUUCAUAUCAUCAGUUUCAAAUUAUACUAAAUUUGGGCUUUGCUUUUUUUCCACUGCCAAUAAGUUUUUCCUAAAAGAAAUCUCUACAAUUUUUUUGAAGAAUUACUAGUUGGUACAAUAAUACUGGGUAAGUCAAAAAUCGCAUUAAAUUGUGGGUCUUGGUACAGGUGAGAUUAAUAUUAGAAACUGAAUCUCCUAUAUCGCUUCUUUUCUCUGCCUUCUUUUUCAUCUCAAAUUAACAUGAUCAUGAAUUCCACAAAAUGGAUAUUCACAUAAAGAAAUUUUAUGAUGAUUUGACUUGUUGACUCCACAACAAUUAUGUUAAUAUUGUGACGUUGCCAUAUUUUUAAAUAAAAU
ensembl:lncRNA